CAUAAGGACAUAAAUCACCAAUUAUCUUCAUUUGAAAGUAAAUCCUUGCAUUCUCCAAAUACAAGCUCACGUCCGACUGCACCAUUUGCAAGGUCCUCUA